GUCGCGACGAGCGUGUUUUGUGCUCUGCUGUAAAGCGCGUAAUACGGGCGCAAGACGUUUCUGAAGCGCGGCUGGCUGAACGACGGAUGAACGAACGACGGCUCACUUGACCGCAGUCAUAACUGAGCGCGAUGAGGGUAAAUCCGGAUCUGGACUCCUUUCCCACCAUCAGCAGAAGAACCGAAGGAGAAGAAGCGCCUGACCAACAACCAGAACAGGGUGGAAGCUCUGACACCACAGCAGCUGGAGGACACAGACCACAGCAUGGACGCCUCACAGACUCCCACAACGUCUGCAGCCAUCACGUUCUGGGCUCAUCAGAUGAACCAGCUACUACAAGCAUGUGUGUCUGACACAGACACCUGCUUAUGACAAUCAGCAAAGGAAAACAAGGACAGAGCAACAGCAGGGAAAACGUGCUCUGACACAGACACUGGUUGAAACAACAGGAGAGGCUUCAGACGUGAUCGGCCCAAAAGAGCUGCAUCCGAGCAUCCAGGAAAGGUCUGUCAUCGAGGAACAACUGUCCCAUUGAAAGGCUUCACCCACUGGCGCUCACAUCAGACUGAUGGUUGGGGAAGGAGGAAGGUGACGGUUCCUUUUCACGUGACGUACAAGACGGUACCGCAAAAACACACACACAUUCAUACACGCAAUGAAGAAACACGCUUACAGCUGAUACACGCUCAAAUUCAUGUUCAUGCUUAUCUGCUCGCAAUGAAGAAUCGCUUUUUGCUCAAAAAAAUCCCACAGAGUGAUUUUAAAAUGAUGACAAACAGCUAAAUGACAACUGCUGCAUGACUUUACAGUCUGAUGGGUUUAAACUAUUUUAACUUGCAACAAAUUCAGUAAUAAAAUCCUUCAUGUUUCUAAAAAUACUUGUGCACAAUAUAGGUUUGUCUGGCCAGACUGUAGGAAAACAAAACAAAACCAGACUGUAGACAAACAAAACAGACUAUAGGAAGACUGAGACUGACUGAAACAGACUAUUAAUGACUAUUAAAGGGAAGACGACUAUUAGAGAGAAGUAAUAAUAAUUACUGUACGUACCAGACUAUUAAAGAAAAACUUAUUCUUUCACUGUCUUGUGCAACAUCUGACAGCAAGACACCUUAACAUUCAUUUUUGCUUUCAAACUUGUGCCCAGUUAAAUUUUUAGGAAGAGAUCUCAUGUGUAGUUUAGAGAUUUGAUUGGUUUCCACUCCAGACGGAGUGCAGGUUACAUCUACAGACAUUCUAAAUAAUCCCUCUUUUGUUGGUGUUAACUUCAGCUCAGCUGUGCUCCUAUCAUUGGCGGCUGAGGGGGGGCUGUAACUGAGGCCCUCACACAGGCUGCAUCACAGCUUGUUUAUGAUUUCACACACACAAACACACAAACUGACCUCAACUUCCCUCUUUUGGGAUGAACACAGGUCUGCGCUUGCGAUUUCUUUUCCUAACGAACAAAAAGAUUUUUGAUUUUUAUUCUACAGUUCCACACGUCCCUCUGUGAAAACAUGAUGGAGACAGAUGCAGGACGUGGGUCCUUUCGUGAUCAGAUGUCAACGGGGUGGAGACUGGUGAACGACUUCUGACCCCAUGUGACGUAUUUACCCACAUUACAUGCUUUUGUUUUUAUUUUUAUUUUUCAGAGGACGCUCUGAGCCAACACUCAGCCUUACAGGAAGCCCUGUUUCCCUGUGGCUCACACACAGACAUGAUGUAGGUUCAAUCAGAGGAUGUGAACCAGUGGUCAUCACACCUAAAUGUGACCACAGACCAUGUGAACAACAACACCCUCUUAAAGGAAGCCAUAGAUGGUGUUACUGCAGACACCACUAAGCUACUGAAACAUUGGAUGCUACAGGCCACAAAGAGAGCCUGUCUAAAUUACACUUUGUUCAGACAAAGGUUAUUUUCUGGGUCAUUGUAAUUACAGCUGAUGGCAAAUCCAUCUCACCCAACAGAGUUGAAGCAAUUUGAAACCUGCCUAAACCGUGCACGUAUAAACAGCUGAUGUCUUUUCUAGGUCUUUGUUCUUAUUGUAGGACUUUCGUUCCUAACUUUACUGUCUUUGAGGCCCCACUCAGGGUUCUGAUGCAGACAUCUUCAUCGUCCACUUCUUGUCUCACGUGGACGUCUGAGGCUGAACAACGUUUAUUGACCUCAUGCUUGCUCUUCAGGCUCCUACCUUGGGUCUUCCUGAUCUGACCCUAUGCGACCUUUCACUCAAACAGUGGAUGAGAGAUCAGGUUGUACGACUUCUGUUCUUUGUCCUCAUACUGUGUCUUUGAUUCUUUUGGAAAACAUCACAUCUUUCUACAGCCCGAUGGCUUAGAUGCAACACCACUUUGCUCAACAUGCUGAACGUUACUAUCAAGAGGCCGUCUUGAAGUCUGGCUCUUUGCUAAGACACUACUCUGCUCAGGCUGCAGAGUUGAUCACAUUGACUGAAGCUAGUAAACGAGCAGAAGGAGAGUCUGUUACCAUCUACACGGACUCCACAGACGCUCUGUGGAAGCAUAGGAAGCUUUUUUGAAGUCUAAUUGCAAACCUAUCUCACAUCAUGAUUAGGUUCUGCUUUGCUGGACGCUGUCCUGCUGCCUACAGCUAAUGCUGUUUUUACAUCAUCAGUGAUGACUUUGUUUCUGCCGACAUGCAGCUGCAGACGCUGCUGCGAAGGUCGCUGCCCAACAACCCCUCCCUCUCCUGAUCCUCGUUUCCUCUUGUUCCCUCUCCAACUCUCUCUAUCCUUUCCUUCCUCAUCUCCCUGUGCUUUAAACAUUUUCUCUGGCUGACGCAUGGUUCCACCUGUAGCCAUGGAGUCUGGUUUGGGCCUGAUGGCAGCCGUGCCGCCCAAACACCUUUUUCCCCACAAUUCAGAUUUCCCAACAGGUGAAAACAGGCGACAGGACCAUUACACCAUCCAACGAGGGGACUGGCGAUCGUUAGGAGUUCAGGAGGAAGCAUUGGGACUCCAAACGAUGGCGAGGCCCCUUCCAGGUCCUUCUGACGACCCACACGGCUGUGAAGAUCGCAGAAAGAGCGACUUGGAUCCACUCCAGCCACUGCAGGAAGGUCCCGGAUCCAACAGACGACCCUCCAUCCACAUCUCACGGAGAAAACCACCACUAAAGAAAGGAACUGAGAAGGACGACCCUCGCUGUGCUCACACACGCACUGAGGCGAGGCUGCGUUGACCGUUCAGCUAAAGGUGUGAGCCAAGCGCCGCCUAAAGCUGCACCGGUGAAUCACACUAUCAGACCAUACAUCUACACACACGCUCCUGAGAGAACACACACACGAGCAGCCUUGAGUUGCCGACGCUGGACGACGUGUAGACUCUUCACAUCACGGGGAGUGACAGUGACUCAGACGACAUUGGGAGGAAACCUGGCGGUGAUAACGAACCCCAAGUGUCUCUGUGAUCAGCUGAUCACAACCUGAAGAACCCCAACGAACUGUCAAUACUUCAACACACAGGUUGGAAACAAUCUAACGCUACUGUUCAACAGGAAGAAGCAGAUUGUUACGAGACAUCAAUUGUAAACAUGCUUUGUUAGACUUUAUUUUAUGUUACUUGGAUUAUUGCCUUUAGCAUAUGAUGUUUCUAUGUAACUUUACACACUACUUUUGAAUGAGAAAAUUCACAACAACAACAACACUGAGUUUAAAUAUCCUGAAGUUGACUUGGUGUUUAAUUUGCUCACAAUCACUUUAUUCACUGCUACAAUUAGUUCUAUCCUUCAUCUACAGAUGAAAGACAACAGAAGCGGAAAUAUGCAUCAUCAUUCUGGUUAAAUCCCUGAAUCUCCUAUUCGCUCUAGACGCAAAUGUACAAUUAAAGAUCCGAAAGCAUUAAAUCUAUCUUAAGAAUAUAUGAAACAGAACCCCACCGGAAACCUAUGGCUAUCAUACAUUAAUUGUCUUUAUUACAUUACAAUUGAAUGGCCGUAGACACAUUGUUAGCAGAGAAAAGAGGCGUUUGUGUUAUGUUUGGAGAGGCAUGUUGUACUUACAUCCUGAAUAACACUGAUUCUAAUGGUAUUGUGGCGAAGGCGCUACACGGCCUUCAGAAUCUCAGCUAACUCUGGUAUAGGUUCUUUCCCUUGGAAAUUGGCUAGACGAAAUGUCUGGAAAAUGGAAAUCUGUUCUCAUGUCCACAGCUGUUUCCUUUAUAAUUGAGAUGGCUGUGAUUCUCUUGUUUGGUUUUUGCGUUAUCCCACUGGUUAGAGGUCUCAUCAUGCGUGCGACCUCAGCAACACUCUCGUAUGAGAUGACACAAUGCACUAUGUUCAAAAACCCCAACUCUAAUGUACUUAAUGACUUUGACGAUGAUCUUAGGCUAUCUGAUCACAAAAUAUAAUCUGAUACAAAUAUGAUUAUGAGCUUAUUUUCUUCACAUGCCAAUACAGAGGUUAUUCUUGUAUAACUACCCAAAAACAGCUCCCAACCUUUUGUCCCUUAGUUACUUCCAUUUUAUGUGAAGGUGUAUUUUGAAUCUUGAUGAGUUAAUACCCUUAUUGUUUCAUUUGCAAGGAUCUUUUAUUAUUACAGAAUGUGAUGUUGACAAUUUUUCUUCUUAGUGGUUGAUUAAUGUGUAAUCAAAAGGGGGGAGUGUUAUGGCAAAAAUUGUCUCUUCCUUAUUUCUAUGUCUCUUCCUUAUUUCUAUGCAGUUAUUAUACGAGUUAUGACUUAUGUUCUGCAAUUAAUAUCUUAUGUUUUGUCUUACUGUAUGCAUUUGACAUUUCACCUACAUUGUUCAAUGGUUGUCUCUGCCUGAUAGACUCUCAACUCUAGCUCCCAAACCCAAGGUCGGGGAGUUGUGUCUCUGUCUGUUGAGACUUGGUGCUCCUUUCUCACAGAUAGUUGGACGUCAGCGAUGCAGGUGUGAGAAAGUAAAAAUCUUCACACACACUGCGACAGGGAGGAGAUGGUGCAUUUAAUUUGAUUGGGUUGGAAAGACAUUCCACCCUAGUCGGACAGAGAAGCUAAAAGGCAGAAGCAACUUGAGGAUCGUGGGCUCUUUGCAUCACACCUUCGUGGUGUGUGCACUGAUCUCCCCAGCUGGUUUUUGGUUUGUUGAUGUGCACGAUCAACAUCCAUGCAUUUUAUUUGCUUUCCCCAUUAUUUUUAUUUUCUUUAUUAUUUCAAUAAAUCGCACAAAAGGACAA